CCUCAAAUGUGGAGCACUAUUCUGAUGUCGAAGUGGAAAGUGCUGCGACAUUUGAGCGUCAC
ensembl:miRNA